rnacentral:lncRNA from 1 species
GUUUAAGUGAGUCAGCAUCUCAAGACUAGCCAACCCUGGGACACUUAUAAGAUCAUUUCUGCAUGGACAAGAUUAUGAACCAGAUUUGGGGAAGUGGUGAGUUCUCCAAGAACUUACUUGUCAUGACGGAUGAUGAUGGAUGGUCCCUGAGCUCAGUCAUGCUCCUCAUGGAACAGGACACAUUGUAA